rnacentral:misc_RNA from 1 species
UACGGAGGGUGCAAGCGUUAUCCGGAAUCAUUGGGUUUAAAGGGUGCGUAGGCGGGCAAGUAAGUCAGUGGUGAAAUCUCUCAGCUUAACUGGGAAACUGCCAUUGAAACUACAUGUCUUGAAUUUGGUUAGAGUGGGCGGAAUGUGUAGUGUAGCGGUGAAAUGCAUAGAUAUUACACAGAACACCGAUAGCGAAGGCAGCUCACUGAGCCUGAAUUGACGCUGAUGCACGAAAGCGUGGGGAGCGAACAGG